rnacentral:rRNA from 1 species
CUACGGGGUGCUGCAGUGGGGAAUAUUGCACAAUGAGCGAAAGCUUGAUGCAGCCAUACCGCGUGUGUGAAGAAGGCCCGAGGGUUGGAAAGCAGUUUCAAUUGGGAGGAAGGUUGAGUAGUUAAUACCUGCUUAAUUUGACGUUACCUUUAGAAGAAGCACCGGCUAACUCUGUGCCAGCAGCCGCGGUAAUACAGAGGGUGCAAGCGUUGUUCGGAAUUACUGGGCGUAAAGCGCGCGUAGGCGGAUUAUUAAGUCAGUUGUGAAAGCCCUGGGCUCAACCUGGGAACUGCAUCUGAUACUGGUAGUCUAGAGGUUAAGAGAGGGAAGUGGAAUUCCAGGUGUAGCAGUGAAAUGCGUAGAUAUCUGGAGGAACAUCAGUGGCGAAGGCGACUUCCUGGCUUAAAACUGACGCUGAGGUGCGAAAGCGUGGGUAGCGAACGGGAUUAGAUACCCUCGUAGUC